rnacentral:sRNA from 1 species
AAAAUAAGGAAAGGGGUUAUUUAGUUGUAUGUCUUUGCGUGCAUGGCCACAGCUGUGCCUGCAUCUGUGUUCUGCGUGCUGAGCCUGUGACCUCUCCCCCAGGGUGUGAUCCUGGUCUAUGACAUUGCGAACCGCUGGUCUUUCGACGGCAUUGAUCGAUGGAUUAAGGAGAUCGAUGAGCAUGCCCCCGGAGUCCCCAAGAUCCUGGUGGGGAACCGCCUGCACCUGGCGUUCAAGCGGCAGGUGCCCACGGAGCAGGCCCAGGCCUACGCCGAGCGCCUGGGCGUGACCUUCUUUGAGGUCAGCCCUCUGUGCAAUUUCAACAUCACAGAGUCGUUCACGGAGCUGGCCAGGAUCGUGCUGCUGCGGCAUGGGAUGGACCGGCUCUGGCGGCCGAGCAAGGUGCUGAGCUUGCAAGACCUCUGCUGCCGGGCAGUCGUGUCCUGCACGCCGGUGCACCUGGUGGACAAGCUCCCGCUCCCCAUUGCCUUAAGAAGCCACCUCAAGUCCUUCUCGAUGGCCAACGGCCUGAAUGCCAGGAUGAUGCACGGCGGUUCCUACUCCCUCACCACCAGCUCCACCCACAAAAGGAGCAGCCUCCGCAAAGUGAAGCUCGUCCGCCCCCCCCAGAGCCCCCCCAAAAACUGCACCAGAAACAGCUGCAAAAUUUCUUAAGGAAGGCACUGAAAGAAACACGGCGGAAUCUCUCCAGGAGAAGCUCGGCGUUACCCCUGGCAGCUGGCGGAUGCAUCUCAGAUCCCGGUUCCUCUCGGCGAAUGCUGCUUGCGAAUGUGUGCGACGCCUUCCGUGUGAUGGAAACACACUACACCGU